rnacentral:rRNA from 1 species
AACGAACGCUGGCGGCAGGCUUAACACAUGCAAGUCGAACGCGUGCAGCAAUGCACGAGUGGCGCACGGGUGAGUAACGCGUGGAUAUCUGCCUGUUGGUUCGGAAUAACCCCGGGAAACUGGGGCUAAUACCGGAUGGUUCCUACGGGAUAAAGAUUUAUCGCCAAAAGAUGAGUCCGCGUCCGAUUAGCUAGUUGGUGAGGUAAUGGCUCACCAAGGCGACGAUCGGUAGCUGGUCUGAGAGGACGAUCAGCCACACUGGGACUGAGACACGGCCCAGACUCCUACGGGAGGCAGCAGUGGGUAAUAUUGGACAAUGGGGGCAAUCCUGAUCCAGCCAUGCCGCGUGAGUGAUGAAGGUCUUCGGGUUGUAAAGCUCUUUUGGCGGGGACGAUGAUGACGGUACCCGCAGAAUAAGCCCCGGCUAACUUCGUG